CCUACGGGAGGCAGCAGUAGGGAAUCUUCCGCAAUGGACGAAAGUCUGACGGAGCAACGCCGCGUGAGUGAUGAAGGGUUUCGGCUCGUAAAACUCUGUUGUUAGGGAAGAACAAGUACCGUUCGAAUAGGGCGGUACCUUGACGGUACCUAACCAGAAAGCCACGGCUAACUACGUGCCAGCAGCCGCGGUAAUA
rnacentral:rRNA from 1 species